rnacentral:rRNA from 1 species
UACAGAGGGGGCAAGCGUUGUUCGGAAUUACUGGGCGUAAAGGGCGCGUAGGCGGCCCGCUAAGUCGAACGUGAAAUCCCCAGGCUCAACCUGGGAACUGCGUCCGAUACUGGCAGGCUUGAAUCCGGGAGAGGGAUGUGGAAUUCCAGGUGUAGCGGUGAAAUGCGUAGAUAUCUGGAGGAACACCGGUGGCGAAGGCAGCUCGCUGGGACGUGACUGACGCUGAGACGCGAAAGCGUGGGAGCA